rnacentral:tRNA from 1 species
GGCGGAGUAGCUCAGCUGGUUAGAGCAUUCGGCUCAUAUCCGAAGGGUCAUUGGUUCAAUCCCGAUCUCCGCUA